CAGUCGCCACGGGAAUACAGAGGGUGCAAGCGUUAAUCGGAAUUACUGGGCGUAAAGCGCGCGUAGGUGGUUUGUUAAGUUGGAUGUGAAAUCCCCGGGCUCAACCUGGGAACUGCAUCCGAAACUGGCAAGCUAGAGUAUGGUAGAGGGUGGUGGAAUUUCCUGUGUAGCGGUGAAAUGCGUAGAUAUAGGAAGGAACACCAGUGGCGAAGGCGACCACCUGGACUAAUACUGACACUGAGGUGCGAAAGCGUGGGGAGCAAACAGGAUUAGAUACCCCAGUAGUCCCUGUCUCUUAUAC
rnacentral:rRNA from 1 species